AGUAAUGAUUUUGAUGUAGAACA
rnacentral:siRNA from 1 species